CGCGGCGGCGGUGCCGGAGCGGCCUGGCCUGGCCCGGCCUGGCGUGUCCCCUCCUCUCCUGUUCUGCCCUGCUCUGUCCGGAGCCGUCCGGCCCGGAGACCCCUCUGAGGAGCCGGCAGAGUUCCCUCAGAGCAAGGGUCAUGCAGUGCCCGUGCUGCCACCUCCCGACCCCCCGGGCCUCAGCCUCGGCACGGCGGCCCAUGCAGAUCUCUUCCUUCGGCUCCUGCCGAACUCUCCCCUAUGUGGUUCAGCACCUGAAGACCCAGCGCGGGGCACAGACAAUCAAUGACCUAGCGUUCGUUUGCUUCAGUUUCUGAAAAAUGUUUUCACCAAGCUAAUUCCAUACGAGGAUGGCUAGGGGACGUGCAGCGGUGCUUUCUCCCGGAGGCACCUCGGGGCAGAGGCACAUCUGAUUUUAGGAAGCCUGGACAGGCAGUCCUUCCAUGCUGCCCAGCUGGGGGUUGCAGCGGUUUAUUUCUUGUCAAGCUCCCUGCCUGUGUGAUAAUCACUGUUUCCUUCCGUGCCAUCACCCUUUCUUUCAGGACACGAAAGUAACACUGAUGCUUUCAUUAGGUGUCAUCGAUAACAAAAAAGUAGGUGUUAAAGCAGAAUUGGUUUUUUUCCCUGCAAGGUCCCGUCAAGGACCUCUGAAGAUUACACUGUAUGAGGGAACUAAGAGCCUGGUCCUCAUUUUUAAAAGCAAAACAAUAAAUACGUUGAAGUGCAUGUCAGAGUGAUCGUAACUGUAAUAGACACUGCCUACAGCAUUAUAAUUUUACAACCCAUGGCCUUAACCACCAGUAGCCACAAAAAAGCAAAUGCCGUAGGUUUGUUUGGCAGAGGGAAGCUCAGAAGUAAAUGUUUCCUUCCCAGACUGUUAUUGUGAAGCUUGCUAAUGUUAACAUUUAUAUAAGACAAGCAACACGAGAUGAUGAUUUGGCAGCAAAGUGGACAGCAAAGAAAUGUAAAACAAAUAAAUCCAGCAUGCAGGCUCUGUGACUGGAGAAUGAGACAGAGAAAUAAAGGAAGUGUAAAGGAUAUCUUCAAGAAAUACCAGAUUCUCAAACCAAACCCUGACCUAUUUAGAAAGUACAGAAGAUUCUGACCUGAAAAAUGUUGUUUCUGGAUGUUUCAAUACUCUGGUUUUCCACACCUCAGUAUUUCAGCAACUCAAAAUGGGUCCACAGACACAUCGGUCUUCUAAAAAUCUGAUGUAAAAAUUUUUAGGGGCAAGAAACAUCAGUAAGGCAACAACGACAAUUUCAGAAUUUCAGGAAAUAAUACACACCAAGAGGCUUUUUUCAUUAAAAAUACUGUUUCCAUUUAUUAAUCUGAUUCAAAGACACAGGUAGGAAGUUGCAUUCUAAUGGUAGGGGGGCCUGCUAACUCUUGCAGAAUCAGCUACAGAUAAUGUAACAACUACCAAGAGAACUGUUCCAGUUAUAGUUGUUAUUCUGUGUUUGUGCAACAAAGUGUUGGUCUAUGUAACCGCUCUGGAGAAGGGACAAUUUCUUGCUCCUUAGUUGGGUGUUUCUUACAUUGUCACGGGGUCAGUCUUAUCUGGAAGCUGCAGUUACCAGCUGGAGUGAUGUCUUUAUCCGAAUUGGCUGUAAAAACGCACGCCUGUUGUGUAUCAGGAAGUGUCUGCAAACGACAAACCUGCUGAACACCUUGGUCUGGGCACUGUUUGCUUCAGCAUCUUCAGAGGAAGUCGCCGAGACUUAAAAGGUUUCUGCUGAAAACGUGACACGAUAGCUGGAGCCUCAGCCCUCCUGUGAGCAACGCUGAAAUGAUGUAACACAGCAUGCCUGGCUUGAAUCUCUGGAGGAGGCAGGAAAGUGCUGCGCGCUUCAUGGCAGCACAAACUUAAGAUGUAGUUUGAAUAAGAGGCUACUGUGCUCUUCCUCCAGGGGUUAAUCUUGUACUGAAGCAUUGGCUCUCCUGUGCUGAGCUCCCCAGUCAUUCAUUCAAAAGGGAGGUAAUUUGCACAAACAUCAAGAUUGGGGGAAUUACCUAGGAAAUCCUCCUCCUUUUAACCGUGCCCACAUAGUCCUCUGGCAAGGAAAAGCUGGUUUCUGCAUUUCACCCAGCUGCUGGCAACAUCUCUUCCUCCUUCAGUUCUAAAAGCUGCUUGAAGUAUUAACAGCUGAACCUGGAUGAGUGGCAGCCAGCCCAGCUCAUGACGGAGGGGGAGACGUCACCACACAGAGCACGCACAGAUGGAGUUACACAAUCUCUGUGGUGUUGAAAGCAGCGCUGGAAACUUGUCAGGAGCCCAAAGGCCAGAGCUAAUUUGUAUUUCCUAUUGCACAGCAUGAUUUUAAUCAGAGCGAAAAGCGCCCAGUUGUGUUUUAUGUACCGAGUGUUAUAAGCAGAGACAAGUUAACAGAGCAACUAGGGGCAGGACAUGUAUGAGGACAGCGUAGAGUAACAUUAGAUGGGGAAUAUACCUAAUUUAUCAGCAUUUCCUUUAUUCUUCAGGAUGGCCAUGGACUAUGAAGCAAGAGAAUAAGAGGCAACUUCUGUCAAAAUUCUAUGAUUGACCAAUUCUCUUUACAAGAAGAAAAAAAAAAAAA